rnacentral:rRNA from 1 species
ACGUGGGCAACCUGCCUAUAAGACUGGGAUAACUUCGGGAAACCGGAGGCUAGAUACCGGGAUACGGUUCUUUUCUCGCAUGAGAGAGAGAUGGGAAAGGACGGUUCUGCUGUCACUUAUAGAUGAGGCCCGCGGCGCAUUAGCUAGUUGGUGAGGGUAAUGGCUCACCAAGGCGACGAUGCGUAGCCGACCUGAGAGGGUGAUCGGCCACACUGGGACUGAGACACGGMCACAGACUCCUACGGGAGGGCAGCAGUAGGGAAUCUUCCGCAAUGGACGAAAGUCUGACGGAGCAACGCCGCGUGAACGAAGAAGGCUUUCGGGUCGUAAAGUUCUGUUGUUAGGGAAGAACAAGUACCAGAGUAACUGCUGGUACCUUGACGGUACCUAACCAGAAAGCCACGGCUAACUACGUGCCAGCAGCCGCGGUAAUACGUAGGGUGGCAAGCGUUGUCCGGAAUUAUUGGGCGUAAAGCGCGCGCAGGUGGUUCCUUAAGUCUGAUGUGAAAGCCCACGGCUCAACCGUGGAGGGUCAUUGGAAACUGGGGAACUUGAGUGCAGAAGAGGAAAGUGGAAUUCCAAGUGUAGCGGUGAAAUGCGUAGAGAUUUGGAGGAACACCCAGUGGCGAAGGCGACUUUCUGGUCUGUAACUGACACUGAGGCGCCGAAAGCGUGGGGAGCCAACAGGAUUAGAUACCCUGGUAGUCCCCGCCGUAAACGAUGAGUGCUAAGUGUUAGAGGGUUUCCCGCCCCUUUAGUGCUGCAGCUAACGCAUUAAGCCACUUCCGCCCUGGGCGAGUACGGCCGCACAGGCUGAAACUCAAACGGAAUUGACGGGGGCCCGCACAAGCGGUGGAGCAUGGGGUUUAAUUGAAGCAACGCGAAGAACCUUGCCAGUCUUGCUUCCUCUACAACCCUAGAGAUAGG